AAUAAUGUGUUAUAAUAUCCUUGUAAAGAAGUGAAGACGGUAGUUACGUUCUUUUCUGAAAGUGAGGUGAUGCCUAUGCGGUAUUCAUCAAAAUCUAACAGAAGGGAGGUAACUUCUUGACUGCUUUUGAAGUGGUAGAGACUAUUCUAGGUUUCGCUAUGUUUACCAUAGCCUUAGUAGGUCUCUG
rnacentral:sRNA from 1 species